rnacentral:lncRNA from 1 species
NNNNNNNNNNNNNNNCCCAUCCUCCAUCCUUUGUAGGCUUUCCUUUUUAGCCGCAGGAGGUCCUCAUCCUGUGCACCCCUUUUUCACAAGUCUAGACGCACCCAUGUUUCUAUAAACACUUCACACUGAUUUUCCACAGGGCCAAAUGUCCCAGGCAUGAGUUCAUGCAACAGCUUUCCCCCUUUUACCCCGAAAAACCUGCAUGCAUUGGGCUCAUGUGCCCACAGCACAUGCAGGGCAGCAGUGCACUAGCACAGUUCUGCCAUGUGUGGGCCUCCUUGUGCCUGUCAAGACAAACCCAUUGGCAUGAACGACACGUGUCCCCCGGAGGCUGGGGGGCAAUGCGACUGCCUGCAGGCAGCGGUGGUGUUGGCAGCAGGGUUGGGUGGCAAGUGGGGAGCUCCUGCAGGCAGCUGUGCCGUGUCGGCAGCGCGGGCGGGCUGAGCAGGGAGCACCUGCAGGCGGCUGCGGCGGUGUCGAUGGCGGGGAAGUGGCGAGUGGUGACCAGCAGUCAGCGACCACCUGCAGAUGCCACCAGUAGCCUUGACAGUGGCCAGUGGAAGCUGGGGACCGCUUGCAGAUGCUGCCAGUGGUGUCAGUGGCGAGCGCCUACUGCCUGCACCAUCGGUGGCGCUUUCCGCAGGGGGUGCACCACCAACCUCAGGGGCUGCACGUGCACCCACGCGUCGCCAGUGCGCAUUGGCCCGCUUAGCAAUACCAGCUCCUCCGACUUCCACAGCGUUGGCCCCUCCACUUGUGGCAGGGAUGGCUCAAAGGUCGGCCCCACCGGGUGUCCUAGCAGUGAAGUUUGGUGCCCGGGGCAAACGCCUGCCUUGUGCACAGACCUGGAGGUGCAGCCUUGCCCCGUCCCCGCCCAAACGAGCUGCUCCGCAGCGCCUGUGCCCGCUCGCCCCCCUUGCUGCAGCCCUGGCCCCUUUCUCUUGUCCUCGCCGGGCACUGCCGCUGCUUUCCCGAGCCCCGGGGUCGCGCUGCCCAGGCCGACUCGUGCACCGGGGCUGCCCGGGCUCGGCGC